rnacentral:rRNA from 1 species
GCGUAGGAAUCUACCCAGUAGAGGGGGAUAGCCCGGGGAAACCCGGAUUAAUACCGCAUACGCCCUAAGGGGGAAAGGCCGGGAUCUUCGGACCGGUCACUAUUGGAUGAGCCUGCGUAAGAUUAGCUAGUUGGUGGGGUAAAGGCCUACCAAGGCGACGAUCUUUAGCUGGUCUGAGAGGAUGAUCAGCCACACUGGAACUGAGACACGGUCCAGACUCCUACGGGAGGCAGCAGUGGGGAAUAUUGGACAAUGGGCGCAAGCCUGAUCCAGCCAUGCCGCGUGUGUGAAGAAGGCUCU